rnacentral:rRNA from 1 species
UAAUACGAAGGGCCCGAGCGUUAUUCGGAAUCACUGGGCUUAAAGCGUACGUAGGCUGGUAUAUAGGCGUCUUGUGAAAUCCCUCGGCUCAACCGAGGAACUGCAAGGCGAACCAUAUAUCUUGAGACAGACAGAGGUCGUCGGAACGAUUGGUGGAGUGGUGAAAUGCGUUGAUAUCAAUCGGAACGCCGAAGGAGAAGUCAGGCGACUGGGUCUGUUCUGACGCUGAGGUACGAAAGCGUGGGUAGCGAACGGGAUUAGAUACCCCGGUAGUCCACGCCGUAAACGAUGUGCACUAGGUCGAGGGCGUUCUGACGCGACUCUCGGCCGAAGCGAAAGUGUUAAGUGCACCGCCUGGGGAGUACGGUCGCAAGGCUA